GUCAGGAUGGCCGAGCGGUCUAAGGCGCCAGAUUUAAGCUCUGGUUCUCGAAAGAGAACGUGGGUUCGAACCCCACUCCUGACA
rnacentral:tRNA from 1 species